rnacentral:rRNA from 1 species
ACAUUACCUAGAAUUUUUCUUUCGGGAUCCGUUUGGAUCGCUACUUUAAUCGGCUUUUCCCUCUUCCGUGCAUGUUUAUGCCCGAAAGCAGGGCAGUCAAGCAUGCGGGGCACCCGUUUCAGCAGCGAAGAUCAUUGCUCCUUCUUCCAUCCUUUACACCUGCAGCGUCCUUUCAACUGUUCGGGAUUACAGUUACAAAUUCCUAUUUACGUUCCCAUCUACACUUUCGUUCCAAGUGCUAAAAGGAUAAGCGAGGGUCCCAAUCGCCUUUCCCCCUGCCGUUUUUCACAUCGUAAAAUGUCAGAGGUUUGGUGGGAAUUUUGGGAGGCCGCCCGGAUGGUGGGUGGGAAGUGGCAUCAUACCUUCCAUUCUUCUUGGCCCCUACGAAUUGGGUUACACACGGGUUCCAAGGGCGGGGACAAUGGGUUAAUCCCAAAAAACUGUCUCAGUUCGGAUUGGGGUUGCAACUCGACCCCAUGAAGUCGGAAUCGCUAGUAAUCGCGUAACAGCAUGACGCGGUGAAUACGUUCCCGGGCCUUGUACACACCGC